CCAGUUGGCUGGGCAGCCGCGCUUCGCAAGGGUCGAAAGGCCGCGAGGUGAGGAAAGUCCGGGCUCCACGGAAACACGGCGCCGGAUAACGUCCGGCGGGGGCGACCCCAGGGAAAGUGCCACAGAGAACGAACCGCCCGGCAUGCCGGGUAAGGGUGAAAAGGUGGGGUAAGAGCCCACCGCGGACCUGGCGACAGGGACGGCACGGCAAACCCCGCCGGGAGCAAGACCGAAUAGGGACGACAUGUGUGCGCAAGCGCCAGGGCCGUUUCCGGCCUCGUCGUCCGGGUGGGUUGCGCGAGGCGAUGCGCGAGCAUCGUCCCAGAUGAAUGGCUGCCAUGUCCCGGGUGACCGGGGCCGCACAGAACCCGGCUUACAGGCCAACUGGCAUC
rnacentral:RNase_P_RNA from 1 species